UAUUGCACUACGUGCACUAGAAAUUCAAUUCAGAAAGUACAGAAAUAAAGAAGAGAUCUCUUAAUGACAACAAAUUAUAACAAAUUGAUAGAAAAAGUGACGAAGCUGAAAUCAUUAAACGAGCAUUUAGACAUAAUCGUUUUCUAAGUUCUCAAUUGUUUCAAGAGUGAAUAACAGCGUUUAGUAAACAUGGCCAAGCAUCAUCCGGAUUUAAUCUUCUGUCGCAAACAACCGGGAGUCGCCAUCGGUCGACUGUGCGAAAAAUGCGAUGGCAAAUGCGUCAUUUGUGACUCUUACGUGAGGCCGUGUACCUUGGUUAGAAUAUGCGACGAGUGCAAUUAUGGUUCUUAUCAGGGACGUUGCGUGAUAUGCGGUGGUCCCGGCGUGUCGGACGCAUAUUAUUGUAAAGAAUGCACGAUACAGGAAAAAGAUAGAGACGGAUGUCCCAAGAUAGUCAACUUAGGAAGUUCAAAGACAGAUCUCUUCUAUGAGAGGAAGAAAUAUGGAUUCAAAAGAAGAUAAUUACACUUUUUCUAUAUAGAAUUUUUCCUAAAAUAACAUUACGAGAGCAUCAGGUCUAAAUGAUCCGUUGCUGUAAUCCAGGGUUAAACGUGCAGCGCGACAUGAAAUGGCGAUCGUGAC